UCAGACGAUGCGUCAUGCAUAUCAAUAAGCGGAGGAAAAGAAACUAACGAGGAUUCCCUCAGUAACGGCGAGUGAAGCGGGAAGAGCUCAAAUUUGAAAUCUUGAAAGGUCACCUUUCACGAAUUGUAGUUUAAAGAAGUGUUUUCUGUUACGAUCGUAAUAUAAGUUCUUUGGAAUAGGACAUCACAGAGGGUGAGAAUCCCGUCUAUGAUUGCGAUUUGUAGCUUUGUGAUACACUUUCAAAGAGUCGGGUUGUUUGGGAAUGCAGCCCAAAACGGGAGGUAAAUUUCUUCUAAGGCUAAAUAUUGGCGAGAGACCGAUAGCGAACAAGUACCGUGAGGGAAAGAUGAAAAGAACUUUGAAAAGAGAGUUAAAUAGUACGUGAAAUUGUCAAAAGGGAAGCGUUUAACACCAGUGUUGUUUUCUGAAAAUCAACCUCUGUUAGCUUUAUGCAUGUUUGUUUAGACCUAAUCAGCUAUCUUGCAUGUUCUAUUGUUUGCAGUGGUGCACUUUUCAGUUUACAGGUCAACAUCAGUUUUUUUUACCGUAAAAAAGUUAAAGAAAGGUAGCUCAUGGCUCCGGUCGUGAGUGUUAUAGUCUUUUUCCUAUGCGGUAGGAGAGACUGAGGUCUGCAGUGUAGGCUAUUUGGCUAGAUACUCAGGUGCUAUGUGAUACCAUUUCAUAAACAACUUGUUGAUUAUGCUUUGUCUAUUGCAUACUCGCUUGUACUAUCAUACCUACGCUUAGGAUGUUGAAGACUCUACAGAGAUA
rnacentral:rRNA from 1 species